rnacentral:rRNA from 1 species
AAUCAACGCUGGCGGCGUGCCUCAGACAUGCAAGUCGAACGAUUAAAGCUCUCUUCGGAGAGUGUAUAGAGUGGCGCACGGGUGAGUAACACGUAAGUAAUCUACCUUUGAGUGGGGAAUAACCCGGGGAAACCCGAGCUAAUACCGCAUAAUGCAGCGGCAUCGCAAGAUGACAGUUGUUAAAGGAGCAAUCCGCUUAAAGAGGAGCUUGCGGCAGAUUAGCUAGUUGGUAAGGUAAUGGCUUACCAAGGCUACGAUCUGUAUCCGGUCUAAGAGGACGGUCGGACACACUGACACUGAAUAACGGGUCAGACUCCUACGGGAGGCAGCAGUCGGGAAUUUUGGGCAAUGGGCGAAAGCCUGACCCAGCAACGCCGCGUGAAGGAUGAAGUAUUUCGGUAUGUAAACUUCGAAAGAAUAGGAAGAAUAAAUGACGGUACUAUUUA